CCAGACUCCUACGGGAGGCAGCAGUGGGGAAUAUUGCACAAUGGGGGAAACCCUGAUGCAGCAACGCCGCGUGAGUGAGGAAGUAUUUCGGUAUGUAAAGCUCUAUCAGCAGGGAAUAGAAAAGAAGGUACCUGAAAAAGAAGCCCCGGCUAACUACGUGCCAGCAGCCGCGGUAAUACGUAGGGGGCAAGCGUUAUCCGGAUUUACUGGGUGUAAAGGGAGCGUAGACGGCGAUGCAAGUCUGAAGUGAAAGGCGGGGGCCCAACCCCCGGACUGCUUUGGAAACUGUAUAGCUGGAGUGCAGGAGAGGUAAGUGGAAUUCCUAGUGUAGCGGUGAAAUGCGUAGAUAUUAGGAGGAACACCAGUGGCGAAGGCGGCUUGCUGGACGAUGACUGACGUUGAGGCUCGAAAGCGUGGGGAGCAAACAGGAUUAGAUACCCUCGUAC
rnacentral:rRNA from 1 species